rnacentral:lncRNA from 1 species
CCCAACCAAAGACAAGCCAAGAAAGCAGUGCUCAAGGUGAAGAGUUAUCCACCAUGGAAAGGGGGUCAAAGAGCUAACUGGGGCUAAGACUUACUCCAAACAGAUUGCCAAUUUUAUUUUUUACACUGAGUAAAACAGCUACCUUGAAAUGCUACAUACAGUUUACAGUUCUGCAGUUUACACUGUUAUCUGUGCUUUUGUUUCUUUCACAAACAUUUAACGAGCACCUACAAAGGAAAAUAAGCUUAUUUCAAAUCUGGAUGUUCAACCCUAAACGAGAAAGUCUGGCUCCUACGUGGACAAAUGCAGUUCCAAAGUUCAGUCCACAGGAAGCAGGGCGGCACCUUGCUUCCUUGCUGUGAAUCCCUCUGGC